GACGAACGCUGGCGGCGUGCUUAACACAUGCAAGUCGAGCGGUAAGGCCCUUUUGGGGGUACACGAGCGGCGAGCGGGUGAGUAACACGUGGGUGACCUGCCCUCAGCUCUGGGAUAAGCCUGGGAAACUGGGUCUAAUACUGGAUAUGACCUUUCCUCGCAUGGGGUUGGGUGGAAAGUUUUUCGGCUGGGGAGUGGGCCCGCGGCCUAUCAGCUUGUUGGUGGGGUGAUGGCCUACCAAAGCGACGACGGGUAGCCGGCCUGAGAGGGCGACCGGCCACACUGGGACUGAGACACGGCCCAGACUCCUACGGGAGGCAGCAGUGGGGAAUAUUGCGCAAUGGGCGGAAGCCUGACGCAGCGACGCCGCGUGGGGAUGACGGCC
rnacentral:rRNA from 1 species